GUGCUUGCUUUGGCAGCAUAUAUACUCAAACUGGAACGGUACAGAGAAAAUUAUCAUGGCCCCGGUACAAGGAUGAUAUGCAAAUUUGUGAAGCAUUCCCUAUUUUU